GAAAAACAGUCAAUUUUUAUUCUAUAUUCAAAAUUCAUUCGUUUUUUAAAAAUGCCGGAAGCGAUAUGGAAGAUGGCUGCUAGGGACUUUAUUGAACAGUGUCCAAAUAGAGUAUAUCUUGUUUUUAUAUGUUUGUGCUUAAUAGUAUUAUUACUCAUUUAUGUGGGUUACCACAAGAUCGUAUCACCAAUUUUCAAAUCGUUUUUUAACUCUACUCGUCGCAUUGAUUAGAGUACAAUAUCAGAUUUGUAUCUAAAAAAUAGUGUCGUUCUUGAUAGAAAUAAAUUGAUUCGAUUCCCUAAUGAAGCUAAGAGUCCCGAAUACCCAUAUACUUACUAACGCACAAGAUGAUUGGCGUGAUUGGUGUAAACAACAUGAAGCCGACUGUAGACCUAUUAGUGUCUUCACUCUGUGUACACCUUCAACUGUUCAAUAUUGGUAUACUGUAAGUGGAAGCAUCAUUUUUGAAAUCAAAAUCCAUCUCGGGAUAUCUAUCUUCAAGGGAUACGGAAUUAUUUUAAGCUUAAAGUCAUCUUAAUCUAUAUUGAAGCUUGGCACAAAAAUUUUUUUUAUUUGGGAUCAUCUAAGAUACAAAACUAUAUAGAAUCAGGAAUUAAUAAUGAAUUCUCAAUUGGAAAAGUAAUUGUGAUACAUAUUACGUACAAAACAAUACAACCCAUCAUGUACAGCCACACACUAUAGAUGAGGACCAAUAACCUUUCUUUCAAUAACCUUUUUAUAUAAACAUUUAAAAAUUAAAUAAAAUAUUCUGAUUAAGUUAAACUUUAA